rnacentral:RNase_MRP_RNA from 20 species
ACGUCCAUGGUCAAAGAUUUGUUUUCGAGGCUCACAAAAGGAUCCUCGGAUCUUCAUAUGCCUUGGGGAAAGUCUCCUGCCACAUAAGCGGAAACGCAGUGGAUUUACCAAUCCACUUGAGAGGAUUGUGGAAUAAAAUCAGAAGUUGUCAAUUCCAGCGAUGUUAAAGUUGUGAUUAUAUCUACAGUGGAGUUGCUAAUUCGUCUAUGGAUCUUGUCUCUUUCGAGCUCUGGCAAUGAAAGUGUUCUGAUUGGUCAGAAUGAGUUGUUGAAGUUGUUCCUUUUAUUUUUUUCACAAUCACCUCUCAUUGUCCCAGUUGGUCUUUAUCCCAUCUGGUGAUUUCCUUUCAGAGGAACUGUUCGGCAAUGGGAAUUUGUUUCCUAAACGAUAGUUAUAACAAGUGAUCAACAACUGUUGAUUAACCCAAUGGAGCUUACUCUUGACCCAUGGACG